rnacentral:rRNA from 1 species
AUACGGAGGAUGCGAGCGUUAUCCGGAUUUAUUGGGUUUAAAGGGUGCGUAGGCUGUGCGUUAAGUCAGGGGUGAAAUGCCGUCGCUCAACGACGGAGCUGCCCUUGAUACUGGCGUGCUGGAGUACGGAGGCCGUUGGAGGAAUGAGUGGUGUAGCGGUGAAAUGCUUAGAUAUCACUCAGAACACCGAUUGCGAAGGCAUCUGACGAAUCCGUCACUGACGCUGAGGCACGAAAGCGUGGGGAUAGAACAGGAUUAGAUACCCUGGUAUUCCACGCCGUAAACGAUGAUGACUAACCGUCGGCGAUAGACAGCCGGUGGCCAAGCGAAAGCGAUAAGUAAUCCACCUGGGGAGUACGUCGGCAACGAUGAAACUCAAAGGAAUUGACGGGG